UAGACAUAUGUACUAUGUUGUUGAGCUGUUGUGUACUGGCAAAAUUAACUAGGAGUUUUAGAAUUAUUAAUGACUAGUUUUGUUGGAUUUGACCAACACCCAAUGGCGGGCCCCUUUAAAUACCGCAGUACACCAUUGCCUCCAGUGCCUCCAGUGCCUCCAGUGCCUCCAGUGCCUCCAGUGCCUAUGCCUCGUGAAACUAAUGUAUCGCCACGUUUACGUUGUUUUGAACUAAACGAAAUAA